rnacentral:lncRNA from 1 species
CGCGGGGUCAGGGAAGACCAGAGGACCACUAGCCCCAGGAAGCUUCCCACCACCAGCAAACUGCGUGGUGAAUUUGUAACCGAAAGGCCCAGGUGAGAUGUGCAAAUAUCACUGGAUUGGAGGAGCUCACUUGGAAAGCCAGUAUUCCUCCUGAGCUAAUGAAAAGAAAGGCUGUCGUCUUAUGCCAAAAGCAAUACCAACCUUGUUCACGGGCUGAGAUCUAGAGUGUGUAAUUCACGAAGUAUGAAUCUGCUGGGUAAUGUGAUAUGAAAAGCGAAUGCACCAUUUCUUGGUGAUGAUUCAGGUCAGCGUUGGGACCCAGGAAUCUCCUGUUAAUCAGUACCCUGGUGAUUUUGAUCCAGAGACGGGGUCUAUUAUCUGGUCCUGUUGUCAAGGCUGGUCUCAAACUCCUGGCCUCCAGCGAUCCUCCCUUUUUGGCCUCCCAAGAUGCUGGUAUUACAGGCAUGAGCCACCAUGGUCCACCCGGACUCCUUUUCAUAGGAGACAGUUCCCUAGGCAGAGACUGGGCUUGAAACAGGUAACUUACAAGGCAUCCUGUGAUCAUAAGAGAAUAAUUCCAUUUGAAAUCAGCA